UACGUAGGGCGCAAGCGUUGUCCGGAAUUAUUGGGCGUAAAGAGCUCGUAGGCGGUUCGUCGCGUCGGCUGUGAAAUCCCGAGGCUCAACCUCGGGUCUGCAGUCGAUACGGGCGGACUGGAGUUCGGCAGGGGAGACUGGAAUUCCUGGUGUAGCGGUGAAAUGCGCAGAUAUCAGGAGGAACACCGAUGGCGAAGGCAGGUCUCUGGGCUGUAACUGACGCUGAGGAGCGAAAGCAUGGGGAGCGAACAGG
rnacentral:rRNA from 1 species